rnacentral:lncRNA from 1 species
UUGGAGAUUUCCAGACUCCCCAGGUGAGAAUUGUAUCUCCAGAGGGUGAACUACUGGGGUGGGUGAGUUUACCUUGAUCUAUGACGCCACUAACUCAAGGGAACGUUCAGUUGCUAGGUAACUUGCGAGGCAGGUGGGAAAUACUUGAAGCUGGGAAAUUGAGGUAGUCAACGUCAUCAUUAGCUACCUGCUUAAGGCUGCUGAAGUCCACAUUGCCUCUGAGGGCAAAACAGCUUUUUUUUCUCCAGGGAUUGUUCUCCACUCUCCCACAGAUGCUGGUGUAGGAUGUCUGCUAUGCAUUGGGAAGCCCGGCGCCGGCAGACCAUGGUGGACCGCAGGAUGUCCAGGGCCAAGCAGCAGAUGACAAAGGACUCUUCAGAGCCAAGCUCAAAGCCACUGGCAGAGUCUAACGCACCAGCUCAGCAACCAGGUAAUAUCUAAAUGUUUAAUUUGCACCAUUUUUGUUGUACCUAAAAGGGUGACAAACUACUAACAAAACCAUAUUCAUUAUAAGCCAGACAUGCUCAUGUUAUGUCUCAUGACUAGGCCUUUCAGAAAAGGGACUUUUGCAUACUUAUUUGUAAAUGUCUGACCCUGCAACAACAACCAUCUUCUGACUGUAAUUCAGGCAAAUAAGGUAAUCAAAUCUCAUAAGCAAACAAUUCCAUGCCCUGAGGAUUCUGUUUAAGGAGUUAUAUCUGUGGGCUCAUGUUCCAACAUGACUUUGCUGUGUCGUCCAGCAAGUAGCCCACAAUACCAGAGCCAUUAAUCCCCAAUUGACUCCAACACUUUGAGAACAAUGGAAUUACAAUUUACUCUCCAAAGCCUUCUAUUGGCUCAUGAAUAUCUCUGUAAUCUGGUAGCUUCUCGCUUGCAGGCACAUCAAUGAUUACCAUUAACUGAGUCAACAACAGCCUAUCCCCCAGAGGUGACAUGGACACACAUCCUCACCACAAACAGAAAACCUCCCAUUCAGGAGGAAUGCUCAGAUCGGAGUGGUCUAGAAUAGUCAACUUUCCCAACUCCAGUCCUGGGGAAAACACAGGACCGCAG